rnacentral:tRNA from 1 species
CCCUUGAUAGCUCAGUUGGCAGAGUGGAGGACUGUAGAUGUUACAACGGUGAUCCUUAGGUCGCUGGUUCAAAUCCGGCUUGAGGGA